CCCCCUGUAGCUCAGUUGGUAAAGAACCUGCCUGCAAUGCAGGAGACCUGGGUUCCCCAGUGGGGAAG
rnacentral:tRNA from 1 species